AGUGAACGCUGGCGGUAGGCCUAACACAUGCAAGUCGAACGGCAGCACAGUAAGAGCUUGCUCUUACGGGUGGCGAGUGGCGGACGGGUGAGGAAUACAUCGGAAUCUACUUUUUCGUGGGGGAUAACGUAGGGAAACUUACGCUAAUACCGCAUACGACCUACGGGUGAAAGCAGGGGAUCUUCGGACCUUGCGCGAUUGAAUGAGCCGAUGUCGGAUUAGCUAGUUGGCGGGGUAAAGGCCCACCAAGGCGACGAUCCGUAGCUGGUCUGAGAGGGUGAUCAGCCACACUGGAACUGAGACACGGUCCAGACUCCUACGGGAGGCAGCAGUGGGGAAUAUUGGACAAUGGGCGCAAGCCUGAUCCAGCCAUACCGCGUGGGUGAAGAAGGCCUUCGGGUUGUAAAGCCCUUUUGUUGGGAAAGAAAAGCAGCAGGUUAAUACCCCGCUGUUCUGACGGUACCCAAAGAAUAAGCACCGGCUAACUCCGUG
rnacentral:rRNA from 1 species